UCGACCCUAGGCAUGAGUCGUUCUGCUUCUGCCCAACGAAAUUCAUCUCUGUUCUCACAUACAGCUGCACAGGCAGUUGUCCUUCCACAUUCCUCUCCCCCUCGCACUGUUCCUUUUUAGCGCACCGCCGCAAUGGCGGCCUCUUGCUCCUCCACCCCCAAGCCGUGAACAUGGAUCUUCUUUCCUUAAUCCUAUGACCUCGAUGCGGCAGGCAAGUGUUUAGCCAAAUAUCCGCCGGUGGGAAAAGACCCGGCAAUCAGUACUACAAGUGUAUCCUUUGCAGUUCUGGGCAAUGCUCCAUGAACUCAGGGUGGCCCUUUGUACGAAGCAGGUGCUUACCGAGUAGAAGAGGUGGAGAAGAAUGUGAUGUACAGAGCAACGCACACUCGAGCGGAGCGCAGGCUCGUUGACCUGUCCCGCAGCGGCCGAGACAGCCACAUCGUCGUCUUCGUGACCGGGACACCAGCCCAUGCGGAGGUGCGGUACGCGAUGUCGAUGCAGUGUAGAGAAAGACCAGAGCAGGACUCCUGACUGUUGCUUCACGGUUCGCUUGUUGUUGCCUUGGCCAUGUGAAUCCCAAUUUUCUUGCAAUAAGAUAGGGGUUCUGGAAAACCCAGUAGUUCUUCUAUUUCUGCUAGCUAAACUUGCUCCAUUCUCCUGACAGUAGGAAAUCUAUUUUGGGCUGGUCUCGCUGUCUAAAAUUCAGAAACUGCUUGAACAAAGAUGCAGUUAAUGUGUUUGGGCUCCUAUUAUGUUGCCAACUGCGUUUACCUUAGAUUAAGCGUCGUACACAUAUGCGAUGAUUGUUUUGCAGUGAGUAGAGGAAUUGAGUUUAGCUGUGACACUUAAAGUUUCAGUCAUAUCCUAUAGCAGAGAAUGAAUUUGUGUUUCUGCAUAACUCUCAACAUGCUGCACUUUCCCACGCGCCAGGUGGCAUUUGGGAAACUGAUGUACGAAAUGCAGCUAUAAUGGUGAAAAAUUACCACCAAUUCUCAUGUUGAUUUACUGAAUUUUCAUGUGUUGUACAUAUAUCCAGUUCAAUAUAAUUGUUCUAUGUUUGUAAUUCUAAACGAGCCUUACUGUUUGCUCUUUGCUCCAGGAAAUUGCUAGUACUAAACCAGGUACUUGCUUAUGUUGUUCAUUCGU